rnacentral:snRNA from 1 species
GUGCUCGCUUCGGCAGCACGUAUACUAAAAUUGGAACGACACAGAGAAGAUUAGUGUGGCCCCUGCGCAAGGAUGACACGCAAAUUCGUGAAGAGUUCCGUAUUUAA